UACGUAGGGUGCAAGCGUUGUCCGGAAUUAUUGGGCGUAAAGAGCUCGUAGGCGGUCUGUCGCGUCUGCUGUGAAAACUCAGGGCUUAACCCUGAGCUUGCAGUGGGUACGGGCAGACUAGAGUGCGGUAGGGGGAGACUGGAAUUCCUGGUGUAGCGGUGAAAUGCGCAGAUAUCAGGAGGAACACCCCGUGGCGAAGGCGGCUCUCUGGGACGGUACUGACGCUGAGACGCGAAAGCGUGGGGAGCGAACAGG
rnacentral:rRNA from 1 species